rnacentral:rRNA from 1 species
GUGUGGACGGGAUAAGUGCUGAAAGCAUCGAAGCAUGAAGCCCCCCUCAAGAUGAGAUUUCCCAACUUCGGUUAUAAGAUCCCUCAAAGAUGAUGAGGUUAAUAGGUUCGAGGUGGAAGCAUGGUGACAUGUGGAGCUGACGAAUACUAAUCGAUCGAAGACUUAAUCAAAA